rnacentral:rRNA from 1 species
UACGUAGGGUGCGAGCGUUAAUCGGAAUUACUGGGCGUAAAGCGUGCGCAGGCGGUCUGUUAAGACCGAUGUGAAAUCCCCGGGCUUAACCUGGGAACUGCAUUGGUGACUGGCAGGCUUUGAGUGUGGCAGAGGGAGGUAGAAUUCCACGUGUAGCAGUGAAAUGCGUAGAGAUGUGGAGGAAUACCGAUGGCGAAGGCAGCCUCCUGGGCCAACACUGACGCUCAUGCACGAAAGCGUGGGGAGCAAGCAGG